AUCUCCAGUCUGGUCAAUGUUAACUUGAUUAACCGUGCAACAAUCAAACAAGAACAUGCACGAUCAAUCACGCUAACAUGAUUCAGACCAAGGGUGCCACUCUCAAAUACACACAAACACACUUAUUCCAGAAAUGAUUUCCCUUACAGUAUUCCAUACCCUUCUUAUCUAUCUGAGAUACUCUUCAAAAACUUCUGAACGACUCAAUCUCACUGAAAUUUCGCAUAUCCAAGUCUUGUUCUAUUACUUUCUGAUUUCCUUCUUCUGUCUAGUAACUGAGGAAUCAACAAGUCCUCUUAUACCAAACUUGAUUUACCAACGAAGUACUCUUGUAUGAUGACUUCACACUUUCUUUGUUAAUAUAUCUUCUGAUCUCUUAGCAACUUGAGCAUCCCCAUAUGCCUUAUGGUUAUACCUUUUUCCUUGCACUCUUCAAUCUUCCUUGGGAUUUACUUCACAUCUGCUUAAUUUUAGGUUGAAUUUUGAUUCCUUCUCCCACAUCUCCACUUUAUGAACUUGUACAUGACACAGUCCUCAUACUAUUCUUCGAAAUUCUCUUCACCCAGUUCCUUCUAUGAAUUCCUUAGAUUCUCAUCCUUCAACUGAGUUCCUCAAAUACGAAUGAAUAAGCCAUCUUGAUUUUCUACUUGCAAUCUUGAAGGUUCUCUAUUCUUUCCUUAUAAGGCAGCAAAAUAAAUCACUCCCAAUUCCGCUUCAUGAUUCUUGAGAUCCUACUCCAUAUCAUCAUUAAUAUCACUUCCUCUUAAAGCAUAAGCAGCAAUAUUUGCUCUUCCUUAGGCUUCUUUGAUCAGUGAAAACUUGCAUCCUUUCCCCAUAUUGAAAUGAUCACUAAAUUUGAUGUGCAACAGAACUGCCACCAACCCCAACUUGUGCAUCAAAUAGUUUUCCUUAUGCUUCCUUAGCUCCCUUGAUGCAUAAAUGAUUACCAUAUCGUCUUGCAUUAGCAUUCACCUAGACCAACACAUAAUACAUCCAUGUAGUAGUAUAUGGCUGGUUAGGCUCAUGCAAGUCUAAGAUAUGCAUAGACGUAGAUACUUCCUCUAACUAAUUUCAUACUUCAUCAAUACUUUUACUCCAUUCCAAGGUAACACCAUUCUCAGUCGAUCAACUCAUUGGUGGAUAUGGUUUCUAACUCUUGAACAAACUUCUGAUGGUAACCGGCCAAUCCACAGAACUUCGAAUCUCGAUAACUGAAAUUGAGUACGACCAUUAUGUAGUAGUAGCGAUCUUUUGUAAAUAUGCAACAACUCCUUGUUCCAUUUACUGACUAAGGGAUCUAACUUCCAAUUUCCGUGCAGAAAUAUUUACUACAACGUGAAGUGUCCAUCAAACGUCCUUGGAAUAAAACUGCGCCUUGCGACCGAUCUUAACCAUUCUUCAAUUCUAGAACUUGAUACUUGACCCUGAUGGUCACGUCCUUGAUUUUAUACUCGAACAUAACCGCAAACUCUGGUUCUUCUUCUUUACCACUGACAUGGGUACACUCCACAGAAAAUAACUAAGUCGAACAAAACCUUUCUCCAAACAAAUCUUCUGACUGCUACAUGAAUUUGGCUAGAACCACUUGGAUAGAUGCCUAGGCAAUUGCAGCGAAUCAAGGUUCAACCAGAAUACUUGACGGGUUACUUUUGGAUGUCAACAAAUUUUCCACUUUCUUAAACAUAGCUUCAUGUUCCCUAGUUAUCUAACUGUCCUCGAUACUCUGCUUCUUGUUAUUUUCUCUCCGCCCAAUUAUGAUGAUAAUGGAAUACGCCACUUCACCAUUUCCCAAAAGGUUCCCAACUCUCCAGACUGAUAUGAGCGAGGCUCCAACACUUAGUAGAAUACCAUUGCAGGCCAACGGUAACUGGUCUUCUCUCAAAGACUUCCUUCCUCAACAACAUCCUAAUUGAGCUCAAUAACUAGAUAGCCAAUCUCACUCUAGAUAGAAACAAACCGCUCUAAUGGAAGGACUAAGGAAUGGGGAUGGGAUACGAAGGCAUACCAUAACUCUAAAUGGCAGCCAGUACUUCCACGAAUAAGAACAGUGUACUUGAAUUCACUAAAGUGAAUCCUUCCUAAAACAAUGACACUACCCGAGAACUACAUCUAUGUGUUGUUCCCGCAUCAAACACAAUAUGGGUGGAAAAUUCCGUCCAUAGGCAAGGUAUCAUAUGACACCUUGAUCACUCCUUCACUUAUUUAUUUAAUCAUUCAUAAAUUUUUAAAAUGCACACAACAUGCAAUGUGAUAAGAAGCAAACCUGUGAUUGGACCUUUUCAGAGGUUUUGACCGUCCAGGCAACUAUAAAGUGUAGGCUCUACCCAAAUAGCCUAACACUUGGAUGUGGACUAACGGUAAGGAAAAGCGGACAAGUUCAACAAGUGUUAUCUUAGGCAUAAGUAACGUAGAUAGGGUAACUUCAUGAGGAAGGGUAACCUAAAUUCUUAACUCUUCACAAGAACCACCAAAGCGCGAAUGAUGCAAACGUUCCAGGAUUUCCCAAACUUUGACAAUCACGACCAUUCUGUCUUUGCUAGUCAAAACCAUAACGGCUCAAGGUCCUCGAUCUUGAUCUGAUGAAAUGUACACCCAAAAUCAUCCCCAACGACUUACUUAACUCACUUCUUGAAACUGACCUUUGAUCUGCAGCGGUUGGAAAAUAAACGGUCUGCAUGACUUGGUUAACUUCUUCAGCAAUAAUAGCUUCUUUAACAUUCACGUCAUACUCUAACAUCUCCUCGAAGCUUUGAAACUCCAUGGUCUAUUAUCUACUCCAAAAUUCUUGUCUAUGUUCCCAAUGAUUUUUCGUAUGAUCUUUUGCUUAUUCUCCAAACCAUAAUCGAUGAAUCCAAUUCACUCGAUCACGUAUCUCGAUGCUUGUGUAGAAAAUACUACUUCCUGAACUCAUGAAAUCUGUCCAACUUGAACUCAACUCUCAGAAGUAAUUCUUGACUCUCGACCAACAACUCAUAGCGUUCAUCUCCAAAUAGCUUGGUGCCAAAUCCUUCUUGUAAUUCUCUGAACAACGGCCACGUGAAUAUUCUGCUCUGAGUGUUGGAUCCCAAAUCUGCCUUAAGCCAAAGUAUACUUCUAACGGUUUAGUCCUUCUUCAGUAUCUUAUGGUCCCAACUUCUUCUUCUUUGCAUCAUAAGCUUCAUGAUAUUCCGUUGCAAACAGAAUGCUUCUGGUGCUUCCAUCAUCUUGUAAUACAGUCAAACCAUCUCUUCCUCCAACGCUAAGCUUGAAACAAAUGCUUAAGAAAUAAUGCUUGUAUGGCUGUGGUGCUUGUACGUCUUAGCAUGAGCUGGUUAGACUUGAGAAACCGGAAUAAUAAGUGCAUCUAUGUGAUCAAGUGUAGUCGAAUCGCUCUGAACCGGAUCACAAACAACACCCACCUUGACAUCGAUAACACACGAGUCCGGAGAUGUAUUUGAUGUAUCAAUUAUAUCCCAUAAAUCUCUCUAAAGUAUUAGCAUCCCCACUAAAACUCAGAAAACGGCAGGAAGGCAUGAGGUUAUUGACUUCUAGCAGGAAGGUAGUGAACCCCACCAUGAGGGUAGCAAACUUGAUCAUGAUGAUAAUAACCUUGGUAAGUACGCUCCAUCCAUUCAAGCUUGUCUCGGUGCUUCUACUAUGAAAUAUCACUGUUAGGUAACUACCCAUGACUAUCUAUCCUAAAAUGAAGGAACAAGCCAGCAUAUCCUUGUUAUCCUUGCGACUCAUUUUGACUCGAAAAACAUUUGAAACAAGUCCCAUUCUAGCAUCGUAUAACCAUGCUCUGAUACCACCUUUGUGACACCCCCGAUCAUAGAUGACCGGAAAUGACACGGUCGAUGUUCCUCGAUGGUCGAUCUGAGGUUCUCAGAAUACUUCCGAUCGCCUUAGACCAACAAUUAAAGAACACCAACGCUCCUAUCGGAUACCACUCUAGGCUUUUCAACCCGAGAAAGCAAUACAUGAUAGUUAGUUCGUCCGGACAAGGACUAAUAUCAUAUGGAACCCGUACUUUAAAAAAAAAACAUUAUUUAUAUAUCAUUCAAAAUCAUCUUACAAAAUUUGUUAUAAAUUAACCUCGAGGUUUUCGGUCUACAAAUCUUAUUCAUAAGAUAUAUCAAAAUGACUUUGCAAGGAUAAUAAAACUACCGCUGGCUAAUGUCGUUCCUUCCGUCCUAGAGUAAACGUCUCCCACCUACUGGUUACCUGCAUAUCAAAUGAGUCAUGAGUAACUAGUUUACUCAGUGAGUCUAAUCCCACACCCAAACACAUAUCAAUAGUAUCCCGAGCAAUCGACACCAUUUGAAUGCAGUGGAAUUAUAUUCCAUAAUUAAUAUAAGGCCUCUCAAUCCAUCCAUGUGAAUCUAUCUUAAACAUCACCUCCACGAUACCCGCAAAUCACUCAUACUCUUAAUAUAUAUAUAUAUGCUAAACCCGGAAAACCACCAAGGCUAACCGAGCUUAACGGGGAAUAAAUAUAACCAUCAUCUCCAUCAGAUAUUCCAAGAUAGAACAUCCAACGCUGCAUGCAGUUACACGGCCUCCAGGGUGCGACCCCAUCAUCGUGUCUUCAUGACCUUGAUCCAUAUCGCAGGACCAAUUCACGGCAAUUCGGGACUUUCGGGAGAGUGAGUAUACAAUAAGACUUCACAUGAUUCACACUUAUUAAUAGAAUACUUAUAGAUUAGUACUUGAGAACAAGUACUAAGGCUCGGGAUAACCUCAAAGAAUUAUUCUUGCUUAUUCUUAAGUAUUUAAACUAGAUAAAUACUUCAUAUAUAAAUAUAGAUCAAGGAAUAAUACUUAAUCAAUCAAACCAUAAUUACUCCUUAAUUAAUCCAUGAUUAAUCCUUAACUAGAUUUUGACCCGCGCUUUAGAAGCGCGGGUAUUUUUUGUUAACCGUAAAGCCAAAUAUUAAAUAAAUUUAUAACUAUUAUUAGAUAUUUUUAAUAUUUAAAUUUUUUUCUAUAAUAAUAAUAAUAAUAAUAAUUAUUAUUAUUAUUAUUAUUAUUUCAGUCCGGUACAAUGUUUUCAUUGAGUUUUCAUAUCCGAGUCAGACUUGUGGUCGAACCGAUAGAUCCCGUUACUCGUAUAUAUUGAGGGUAGAUAAUAAAAAAAAUAUGGUAAAAUGUUAAAAUCAUUAAGACGGUUAUUAAUCCACUGAAAAGAAUAUAAAUUUGAUUUUUUUUUUAGAUUUUUAUAUCAAUAUAUAUAUAUAUGACUUGCAUAAGAAUUAUCUUUUUGUACGCAACCUUUGAUCAAGCAUUCGCGUUAUUUGUAAUUUGUUGAAAUCUAUUUGAAGAUCAAGAUCAAGUAUAUUUAUUAUUAAAUAAAAAAUGUUAAUUAAAUUUAUUUGUAAGUACAUUAACUAUUAAUCUACCCAAAUGUAGAACAAAUUAUUAAAAAUAUAGUUUUUUAAUUCUAUUAAUAGUAUCUAUAUUAUGAAUCUAAAAAAUCAGUUUCAGAUAAUUAAAUACUCAGUGUAAACGAAUUUCUAUAUAAAAUAAUGUAUAGGUUUCAACACAUUUAUCGGGGAUCGCGAACCGAACAAUACAAAAUUAAACAGAAUUUCAUACAUAACCGAGUAAAUCAUAUAUCUCUAGAACCAAAAAAGUGAAACCGAACUGUGAACCAAAUGAAUAUCCUAAAAAAUACUAUUUAUAAACCGAAUUACCCGAUACUUUUUAUUCAAAAUAUUAAAAUAUCCGAAUUAUCUAAUAUUUUUAUCCGAACAAUCAAAACUAACCGAUUUUUAAAUUGAAAUUUUAAGUUAUCCAAUAUUAAUCUAUAAAUCCGUGUCUAUUCGAAAACCAGAAUUGAACCGAAACUAAAUUAAACAUACCUUUUGUAUAUUAGCUAGUUUCCAACUUUGCUACUGAACCGAACCAAAACCAAAAUAAUAACAUAAAUGAAUCAAAUCAAACUUUGUAAAUACAUGAACAAUUUGAGGCAAAACAGAAAAACUAAAAUAUUCAAACUGAACUGAAAGAUGAGAACUAAUAUAGUACAUAUACAUUGAAAUGAUGCAAAGAAAGCAUCUUCUAGUUUUAAAAAAUAACUCUUUUUAGUUGGGUACAUAUGUAGUUUGUAAAGAAAUCAAAAUAUAAACAGUGUUUUUAUAUAUGAUUCGGACCCAUAGUCAAAUCGAUUAAUCCGAUGGUCAUAUAUAAUAUGAACUGAUUUAUGUUUUUUCAUGCAGCAUUCUAUUAGAGGUUCUACCAACUAAUUUUUUUCCACAAAAUUUGUAAUUAAUGAAAACCUAUUAUACGAAAAUCUGAUAAAACAAAUAAAUCUGCCAUUAAUCCGUUAACCGACACCGCUUGACCCGGAAAAUACCCAGAAAAUGUUAUAAUAUUUUUUUUUUUGAAAACUUGAUCAAAACUCUCAUCUACUUUAUAAUAGUACAUAAAACUGAAUAAACAAUUUGAGUUGUUGUAUAAUGUAAAUGUAUUGUAUUUAUGUUAUGCAUUUUAAUUUAUAGGUUUUGUACUAAUCAGUACAAUUACAUUUUUAGUGUAGAUAAUUUAUUUAUUUUGUUUAGAGGUAUAAAAUGGGUAUAGACAUAUUCAUAAAAUUAAAUUUAUGAUUGAUGGAUUGAAAUUUUUUAAUGAGUCACAAAUGCAAUGAAUUAAAUUAAUGAGUAUAUAUAGUUGUAAUCCCAUAAAUCAAAAGAUAGCAUAUAUAUAUGGUAGUUUAGAAGUAUUUUUAGAAAAUGGACAUUUAUAUUAAAGGAAAAAAAAAACAGGAAUGUUUCCUUUUAAAUAAUAUAUAUUUUUUCUCGAAACGCUGUAAAGUUAUUUUAAAAUAUUUGGUUAAUAAUAUAACAUAGAAAAUAUUAGUGAUUUAUUCAUUCAAAUAUAGAUUGGUGAAUGUUUCAAAAAAAAACUAUAGAUUGGUGAAAAUUGGUUUUUAUGUAUUUGUGGUUUGUUUGUUAACUAAAUACUACAAAUAUGGAAUACAGUUAGGUAUAUAGGUUUAAAUGUUUUUAGUUUAUUACUUAAAUUAUAUAAGGGAAGACCAAAAAAAUAAAUCUAAUGAAUAGGUCCAAACAACUUUUUAAGUAGAUUUUUUAGAAAUGCUUCCCUUUUAAUAGAAUAGAUUAAUCAAUGAUUAAUCCUUAAUUAAUUCAUGAUUAAUUCUUAAUUAAUCAACCAUAUUCAAUAUGCAAUCAUGCAUACUCAUUCAUAAUUCAUUCAUCAUCUAUCUAGACUCACUUUUAAAUCCAUGAGAUUGGUUAAGGAAGACUAGACUCGAGCUCAAGCUAAUCACACUUCACUUUUGGAUCACUCUCGGUUCAGAACUAUCACAAGGAUCCGGCUGAUCCGAAUACUCUCCUUGGCCAUCUGAAUUCAAAACAUAACAGUUGGAACAUAAGGUUCAGUAGUCUGGUUCAAGAAGAAACUCAACUCAGUUCAUAACAUUUCAGUUCAGUUCUCUCAUAUCAGUUCGGUUCAAGACAGAUUGAUACCAUGUUCAGCUCGGUUCAAGCUUUAACAAUUUAACUCGGUUCAUAUCAGCUUAGUUCAUGCUCAGCUAACUCCGGUUCUAAUCAGUUCCCAACAGCUUAAAUCGGUUAUACUCAGACGACAUCAGUUCAAGACAAUUUCAGACCAUAGACAGCUCCGCUCAGAUCAGAUCAGAACAUACUCAGCUCAAUUCAGUUCUAAACAAGAUCAAAUCAGUUCUGUUUAAUUCCCAUAAUUCUUAACAGUUCGUCUACUGGUUCUAUGAGACUGAUUAAAUCAUAAACCAACCAAGACUGAAGAGAACAAGACCUUAGACAACUGAUCCUGACAGGUUAACCAACAUACAUCAAUUGGUUCUCAUCAAAACAUGGCUGAAUCAAGAAGCUGAAGCUUACCGGUUUUACUCAACUAAUUAAACUUGACUGGUUGUCUCUCUUCAAGCUAACCACGAAUUAACCUUAUCAACACCACAAGAAUACAUGGUUGGAUUUAUUCAGAAUUUAUCUCCAGUGUAGGCAAACCAACAAAACUUCUCACAGAAACUGAUCCACAACCAUCUUACCGAUCAAAAUCAAAGGCUGAAGAACAUAGGUGAUUCUCAACUUCAGGACACCAAAUCUUCAGCUCUUAAACACUCCAAAACUCACUGAUUAAAGUCACAGGAUGGUGAGAAAGAGUUGUCCAUGCUCACUCCUCUUCUCUGAAUAUUUUUCUGAAUUUUUCAUGAAUCUUUUCUCACAGAUUUUUCUCUCUUCUUUCUCUCUUUCUCUCUGAAUUUUUCUCUGGUUUUUCUUGUAGGUUAUGAACGUCCAGAGGAGAGAAGAGGGUAUUUUAUAUCAUAAGGAGUUGCUUCAGAUGAGGGUUUGCUCCCACAAAAGACAAAGAUGAGGUUAGACAGCUGGUGACAUGCUUCAGCACACCAAGCAGCACAAGCAGCUGAACUUUUCCUUCCCAUGAAGAAAGCUACAAGCAGCUGAAGCAAGUAGCUUUUGACCAGCAUGUGACUUCUAAUGAGCAAGCAGGCAAGCAAGUAGGUGUAGGUCAUGUGACCUAAUUACUGAGGAAGCAAGUAGGCUAGAAGGUGCAAAGCAUGUGACUGUUCAGAAAUAAUUUUAAGAGUUUUGUCGAUAUUUUCCGGACUGUUUCGACUAAAUAUUUUUCAUCAUUCGAAUCUCGUCCUGCUCUGAAUAAACUCACCCAGCAUGAAUAAAAAUCAACGAUAAUAAUUAACACUCGACCAGAACCAUCAAGGGAUGGUUUUUCGACCAAAAGACAGCCCCGUCGAGAUUAAUUCACCGUGUCGAUUUUUAUUUAAAUUCUGAUCGAUCAAUCUUCAAACUGAUCUUAAAGAAUUUUCUUGACCAAAAUUAUAUCUGCUCGUGAGGGUUAUUACACCGACUGUCCCUGUUAAUCAUUACUCCGAUCCCGAAGGCCAACACAAUAGGAUCGAAAUCCUAUGAUGUUAUCCCAUGCUAAUGUAUACAGAGCGUAGGCUUGCUUUGAGCACUUUAAUUUCUUCAAAGUAACAGCGCCGGAGGCACGACCCGGCCAGUUAAGGCCAGGAGCGUAUCGCCGGCAGAAGAGACAAGCCGACCGGUGCUCACCGAAGGCGGACCGGGCGACCCAUCCCAAGGUUCAACUACGAGCUUUUUAACUGCAACAACUUAAAUAUACGCUAUUGGAGCUGGAAUUACCGUGGCUGCUGGCACCAGACUUGCCCUCCAAUGGAUCCUUGUUAAGGGAUUUAGAUUGUACUCUUUCCAAUUACCAGACUCAAAGAGCCCGGUAUUGUUAUUUAUUGUCACUACCUCCCCGUGUCAGGAUUGGGUAAUUUGCGCGCCUGCUGCCUUCCUUGGAUGUGGUAGCCGUUUCUCAGGCUCCCUCUCCGGAAUCGAACCCUAAUUCUCCGUCACCCGUUACCACCAUGGUAGGCCACUAUCCUACCAUCGAAAGUUGAUAGGGCAGAAAUUUGAAUGAUGAGUCGCCAGCACUAAGGCCAUGCGAUCCGUCGAGUUAUCAUGAAUCAUCAGAGCAACGGGCAGAGCCCGCGUUGACCUUUUAUCUCAUAAAUGCAUCCCUUCCAGAAGUCGGGGUUUGUUGCACGUAUUAGCUCUAGAAUUACUACGGUUAUCCGAGUAGUAGUUACCAUCAAACAAACUAUAACUGAUUUAAUGAGCCAUUCGCAGUUUCACAGUCUGAAUUCGUUCAUACUUACACAUGCAUGGCUUAAUCUUUGAGUACUGGCAGGAUCAACCAGGUAGCAUUCAUAAAUCAGGACAAGACCACGUCAUAUUCCCGCAAACACAUGGAAAGUGGGAACAGACGCAGACUUGACCGUCAUCUUUUGUCCGGAGACAAACGUGCUUAGCGGGACAGAAUUUCUUCGAGUCACCGCCAUAAUAUUUCCGCAACCGAGAUCUCAGCAAACAGCUUAUUCACCUUUGCGAACAAUGCAUAAACUAUGCAAAGACGCAAGGAUCACAAGUGCCGGCUUAUGUGUUCACGACUUCCCCACUGAAGGAGAUGCCGGAAACAACAUUUUAAGCAAAAGCUUAACAAUUCCUUCCAGAUAGGUACGCAACACAGGCCCCGGAUCAUUUCAACAAGCAUAAAACUAUGGUAGUGAAGAAACUGAGGAGGAUAGUUGGUCUGUAGUUGGGUGCGCGAGCACAAAGCCUACAAACACUAGCUAUCCAAUCACCACUCAUACGCCGAAUGUUCAUUUGCCCCGCUAACAUCAAUCUUUCCAACCACUCUUGAGAUGUAAUCAAAAAAGCAACUGGAAGACGGAUGAAACCAGGCCAAGACCAUGCAAGCGCGAAAAUUUGAAGUUAGGGGCAAAACGGUCCAACGGAAAAUUCGCCGGAAAAGUUCCCGGAAAAUUCACCGGGGACAAUCCGGCCAUCGACCUCAACCCAGCCCUCGAUAGUGUUGGACCGAACAGUCCAACACUACGUACCCGAACCGUUCGGGUACUGGGGGGUAGGAGGCUCAAGAGAGUGCCUACCCCUUAUAUAUACAAAACGUUUUUUUCAGUCUGUCACCAGUAGACAUUGGUUGUGUUCCGGGGAGUAUUUUUAAUGUAAAAAAAAAAUACUUCGAAUUUGAAUCUGAUUUUUUGCAUGCUUCAUAAGGAUGGUUAAAGCUAUUUUCUGGUAAAUUUUCAUAAAUUUCUUUUGCUUCUAACCAUGUCUUUUGCAUGCUACAAAGGUAGGAGUUUCGUGGUCUAAACGGAUGUCUACAGCAACUUUUGAUCAACACUUGACAUCCUAAACUCUUUGUUGACAUAUUUUUGAUGUUUCCUUUCAGAAAACUUUCUUCAAAAAUAUUAAUUUUUGCAUUUUUGGCUUCUCGGGUGAUUUUGGCUGUCCGUGGGUGAUUUUGGCCCACGUGGGCUGUCUGUUCAGUACACACAGGACGUCCAUGUGUGUCCGUCAUCACACACAGGACGUCCGUCAGCACACGCAGGACGUUCGUGGCUGUCCGUGUGUGUCCGUGUGUCCGUCAGUACACACAGGACGUCCGUUAGUACACACAGGACGUCCGUUAGUACACACAGGACGUCCGUAGCCGUCCGUCAGCACACGCAGGACGUCUGUGGCUGUCCGUGUGUGUCCGUGUGUCCGUCAGUACACACAGGACAUCCGUCAGUACACACAGGACGUCCGUCAGCACACAAAGGACGUCCGUGGCCGUCCGUCAGUACACACAGGACGUCCGUGGCCAUCCGUCAGGAAACACAGGACGUCUGUCAGUACACACAGGACGUCCGUGGCCGUCCGUCAGCACACACAGGACGUCCGUCAGCACACGCAGGACGUCCGUGGCUGUCCGUGUGUGUCCGUGUGUCCGUCAGUACACACAGGACGUCAGUCAGUACACACAGGACGUCCGUCAGCACACAAAGGAAGUCCGUGGCCGUCCGUCAGUACACACAGGACGUCCGUGGCCGUCCGUCAGCACACACAGGACGUCCGUCAGUACACACAGGACGUCCGUCAGCACACACAGGACGUCUGUCAGCACACGCAGGACGUCUGUGGCUGUCCGUGUGUGUCCGUGUGUCCGUCAGUACACACAGGACGUCCGUCAGUACACACAGGACGUCCGUCAGCACACACAGGACGUCUGUGGCCGUCCGUCAGUACACACAGGACGUCCGUGGCUGGCCCUUCCUGUGGACUGUUCGGGUGAUUUUGGCCCACGUGGGCUGUCUGUUCAGUACACACAGGACGUCCGUCAGCACACGCAGGACGUCCGUGCCUGUCCGUUAGCACACACAGACUGUCCGUGGACUGCCCAUCAGUACAUAUAUCAGCAUGCUGACCACACAUAUCAGCAUUCUGGUCCUUCCCAUGGACUGUCCGUGUACUGAUUUUGGACAAUUGAUGCACAAUGUCAGUACACAUAUCAGCACGCUGGCCAUUCCCGUGGACUGAUCCGUGUACUGAACUCAUAUCAGCAUGCUGGUCCUUCCCAUGGUCUGUCCGUGUACUGAUUUUGGACAAUUGAUGCACCAUGUCAGUACACAUAUCAGCACGCUGGCCCUUCCCGUGGACUGAUACGUGUACUGAACUCAUAUCAGCAUGCUGGUCCUUCCCAUGGACUGACCGUGUACUGAUUUUGGACAACUGAUGCACCAUGUUAGUACACAUAUCAGCACCCUGGCCCUUCCCGUGGACUGAUCCGUGUACUGAACUCAUAUCAGCAUGCUGGUCCUUCCCAUGGACUGUCCGGUACUGAUUUUGGACAACUGAUGCACCAUGUCAGUACACAUAUCAGCACACUGGCCCUUCCCGUGGACUGAUCCGUGUAUUGAUCUGGACAUAAGCUCGAGUUUUGAUGGACUGGACUGUCCAAGUCAGUCUGAUUGAUGCUAGCUCGACUUAUGCUGGCUUGACUUUCCAUCAUCCAACCAAGUGUUAACAUUUUCCCUUUGUUUUUAUUGUGGUAAGAUCGAGGCCAAGCGUACUGAAGGGCAAGCGUACUGAAGGGAUGAAUUAACUCUUUUGGGUUUUAAUGCUCCCGUCAGGAUGCUUUUGGCCGAGACUUGUGCACAUGCGGGCUGCAUUUCAUCGGCCAAUCUGAAAUAUUAUGGCGAGACUGAUUUUCACCAAGUAAAAAUCUCGAACCUCCGACGGGAUCUUCUUAUAAACUUGAAAUUUUUUGGGUUUUUUGUUUUUUAACGUUUUGGGGAGGAACAUGUGAUUGGAAAGGGGGAGGGUCGAAUCUUAGCGACAAAGGGCUGAAUCUCAGUGGAUCGUGGCAGCAAGGCCACUCUGCCACUUACAAUACCCCGUCGCGUAUUUAAGUCGUCUGCAAAGGAUUCUACCCGCCGCUCGGUGGUAAUUAUAAUUCAAGGCGGUCCGAACGGCGCUUCCGCCGAACGGACUUAGCCAACGACACGUGCCUUUGGGAGCCGAAGCUCCUACUGAGGGUCGACAAUCAGGCGGCGGGCGCAUGCGUCGCUUCUAGCCCGGAUUCUGACUUAGAGGUGUUCAGUCAUAAUCCAGCGCACGGUAGCUUCACGCCACAGGCUUUUCAACCAAGCGCGAUGACCAAUUGUGCGAAUCAACGGUUCCUCUCGUACUAGGUUGAAUUACUAUUGCGACGCGGGCAUCAGUAGGGUAAAAC
rnacentral:lncRNA from 1 species